rnacentral:hammerhead_ribozyme from 1 species
AUCCAGCUGACGAGUCCCAAAUAGGACGAAGUGGCGUGCGCCCUGGAU